AACUUUUAACAACGGAUCACUUGGCUCUCGCAUCGAUGAAGAACGCAGCGAAAUGCGAUAAGUAAUGUGAAUUGCAGAUUCAGUGAAUCAUCGAAUCUUUGAACGCACCUUGCGCUCCUUGGUAUUCCGAGGAGCAUGCCUGUUUGAGUGUCAUUAAAUUCUCAACUUCAUUCAGCUUUUGUUAGUUGGAUGUGGCUUGGAUUGUGGGGGUUCGUGCGGGCUUCUUUGAAGUCGGCUCCCUUUAAAUACAUUAGCGGAAAACCCUUGUGGACCGUCUUUGGUGUGAUAAUUAUCUACGCCACAGCCGUGAAGCAGCUUAUAAAAUGGGACUUCAGCUUCUAACCGUCCUUUUAGAGGGACAACACUUAAUUGACAUUUUGACCUCAAAUCAGGUAGGACUACCCGCUGAACUUAAGCAUAUCAAUAAGCGGAGG
rnacentral:misc_RNA from 1 species